ensembl:lncRNA LOC102555043 uncharacterized LOC102555043
CCGCCCCGCCGGGCCGCGCGCACGUGAGCGCGCAGCUCGGCCGGUCUAAUUUUAGCUCUGAGGUGUCAGGGUCGUGUGAGCUUCUGGCACCAUGAAAACACGGAGAAAGGUUAUAGGUCAGUUCCAGUUCUAUUUUUCUGUCCCGUAACCAAGGAACGUGGGAUCUUUAGCCAAUGGAGUCUCACCAUCUUGUUCUGCAUGCAGAAUCCCUAUGCAGACUUCACAGAGAGGAUUACAUUUAUAUUAAAGAAUUUUACAAGUAGAAGAAAACUGCCUGAUCAUGGAAUGGUUGUGAAUUCACCUGACUCGAACACCACAUGGUAUAUGUAUCCCUCAGCCUCCCCAGAGCUGUGAAUGAACGCCCAUGCCCUGCAAGCACCCCUUACAGAAGCUAUCAGAGCUGAUGGGUGGCGGUAGGCUGCAACGAGAAGACCUGAGACUUCCUGGACAACAGCAAUCACCAGAUGCCAGAGAGGCUCCCUCCCAUCGCCAGCUAUACAGCGUGUGCAGGUGAGCCCUGUCAACAGCCAUGCCAUCGAGGGAAAUGAUGGAUUCCAUUAUCCGAAAGCCAUAGGACUUCCCAAACUCCAUCCUGCCCACUAAUCACGAAACUACAAAGCCAGUGAGCUGAGAAGAUGAGGAAAAGUAAGCGUGCUAACCGCUGAACAGGAAAGACUUCUGAUAAACAGCAUAAUUCGAUGCCCAAAGGUACAGAAUCCAAAGACAGGAAAUUCCAGGACUCCUAAGAGAGAAGCUGCCUUCAGCGUCAAGUUCCUGGCCUGUACAAAUCCAAAGAUCCCGCCUCAGUCUACCUGACCAGACAUUGGUCAUUGGCUCUUCAAUCAAAAACCAAAUGGAGACAAGGACCUUCAGCAUUUGGAUGGGCAGAUUCCUGAUUAGGGAGACUGGAUUAAUGCAAAGCAUUAGAAUCAAUCCCCAACAGCAAAGCGUCUUCUGGUCAGCUUCAUGCCUGCUUUCUCCUUUAGGGAUCAGCCAGAAAGAAUGGCUUGCUGUCUUCUACACCCCACCCUUCAGUUUCCUCCUCCUUGGAAUUUCGUCUCCAGGCUCUGUGCGGGCUGCUUCCUCUUUCUAAAUGUCAUCUCUGCUGUUUUCAUGGAUGUGUGCUCUCCCUCUCUGCUCAAAACAUCACAGGAUUCCGGCUCUCCUCAGUAACCUUUGCCCUUGUGAAUUCUUGACAUUCUCCUUGGCCACAUUGCCCUGUGUCAUAAUUCCAGGGCUGUAAAUUAAGAGUGUCACACAUCAGCACAGAAACUGCAAAUCUGUGCACGGAGCUCUGAGCACAGCCACAGAGGGCAGCUUCCUGGCUGGCCCUUGUGCCUCUGUCUCUGAAUGCAGCUGUGUCCCAGUGCUUAGUUAGCCUUCCCUCUCCCCCACCAUCUUGGUGAAUUCACCAAGUCUAGCUCUAUGCCAGCAUGGGCUGCAGCAGCGCAAGCCCCUCCUGAGUGAUCAGAUCACUCAACCUCCAGUACCCUCUGGCUCCUACAGCCAGUGACGGCUGUGCUGUCCUUGCUUAGGCCGCACCGGAGACACAGCUGACUUCUGUUCCUCAUGCCUGCAUCCCCUUCGACCUGCCAACAGAUUUGGACACUUGCUCCUCUUGCCAUUCUGCUGUGAACCACACAGCCCUUGCCUGCUUUGUCCAGUUGACAUUAAUGUCUCCCUGCUUCCUGGUAUACGCUGGCUUCCUCUGUAAUUCAGACAGCUAACUCAGCAGCCCCAUUCUCCUGGGAAGUCAGCAGUGGCCUCUCCUCAGCCCAGAGCCUUCUGAUGGUAUCAUGUCCUAAUUCUAAGUAAGAACUGGUGUCCUCUCAAUGGCCUGUGUAGUUCCUAGCACUGUGGUACUUCAGGUGUACCCCAGUUCCAGGCCUGGACAAUAGCCUCCUCUCUGCUUGGAACAUGUUUCUAAGUACCUGCACAGCACAGGUGCACGGCACAGGUGCACAGCACAGCUGCUUGGCACAGGUGCACCUUUGGGUUUAUUCAGUUCUUCCUAGCAUCCCCACCCUUUCUUUGUCCUUUCUUUUUGUCUGUGACACUUACCCCAGAUGAACAUACUAUAUACUUUUUAUUCCAUUGUCUUUCUGAUAGAGUGGAAGCUCCUGAGAGGAUAGGUUUUUAAUCUGACACAUUGUGGGUGCCCAGUAACUAUGUUUAAGUGAAGGGAUGGACGGGAGAGAAUGGUUCAGAUGUCCCUGAGUCAGCUUUCCUAGGAGGAGGGGUGUGUUUGUCCUGUAUCAAACUGGAUGCCAGGGAAUAGUUAGAGAAAAUGUGCUUCAGACCAUCAAGUUCAGCUGCUGGUCCCUUGACUGAUACCCAGGCCUAGCGACAGGAAAAGCAUCCCAAACAGCACAGCACACUGACGUGGACUCCUAGCUCUCAGUCUGCCUCGUAAUCCUCUUGUUGCUCACAGUCAGAGGUUAGUCUCCAGAGUUCUACGUCUAGGAAAGGGAAUGAGGUGUGAGGAGGGGGUAUUUUUAGCCCUGCUGGUUUGGUUUCUCAGCACAAGUGUCUAAAGAAAGCUCCGGUUUUAGUAUGAAAUCAGGAAGUAAGAGGACUGAGUGGCUUCUCUGGAGAUGGCUGCGUGAGCCCAUUGCCACACAGGAUUAGGCCACAGCAAGUUCCCAGGAAGCGUCUCUGCAGAGUCAUCCAAGGCUCAGCAGUAAGAGCAUUCGGUCCACCGGUUAGAAGGGCCACCCAGACAGGCUGUGGGCAGUCAGACUCUCAGUGAGGGAAGGUGGGACUCAAAGUUCUGACAAUGGGGACUGCCAUGCAAGCUCCCAGGGGCGGGAGUGGGGUUUGGGGGGAACAGAUGCGAGCUGCCUGUGACAGUGACAUGAGGCCUUCCUUCCCCUUUGGAAGUUGAAGGUACAGAAGAAGCGAACACGCAGGAGGGCAAGGGUCAUAGUCACCUAGAAAUGACGGCUCGAUGUGUGUACCACGGAGGAGUGGUGGGAAGCAGCCUGGUUGGUAAUGCAUUCCAGGAGAACAUGGCUGCUGUGGACCCAAUGUCCCCACUAAAACUCCUCCAUAAAGUGUUCUGAGGGAGCACGCAGAGCUGGGUCAUGAUAGCUUGGUCCUCAUGAAUAGAUUAGCCCAUCCAUGGGCUCAAGUGUCCGUCAGCUUCCUUCCAUCUCUCUGGGUUCAUGGUCUCUGAGACACCGUUGCCUUCCAGCCUGUGACAAGGCAGAGCAUCUGGGGGAGAGAAGGGCGGGGCAGAGCAGCACACCUCAUGGCAGCCGAGAAGCAGAAGGCAGAGCGAAGGGCUG